AUAAAAAACCAAUGCCCUUCGGGACUCCUUGGUGAUUCAUAAUAACUUAACGAAUCGCAUGGCCUUGUGCCGGCGAUGGUUCAUUCAAAUUUCUGCCCUAUCAACUUUCGAUGGUAGGAUAGUGGCCUACCAUGGUUUCAACGGGUAACGGGGAAUUAGGGUUCUAUUCCGGAGAGGGAGCCUGAGAAACGGCUACCACAUCCAAGGAAGGCAGCAGGCGCGCAAAUUACCCAAUCCCGACACGGGGAGGUAGUGACAAUAAAUACUGAUACAGGGCUCUUUUGGGUCUUGUAAUUGGAAUGAGUACAAUUUAAAUCCCUUAACGAGGAACAAUUGGAGGGCAAGUCUGGUGCCAGCAGCCGCGGUAAUUCCAGCUCCAAUAGCGUAUAUUAAAGUUGUUGCAGUUAAAAAGCUCGUAGUUGAACCUUGGGCCUGGUUGGUCGGUCCGCCUCACCGCGUGCACUGAUCCGACCGGGUCUUUCCUUCUGGGGAGCCGCAUGCCCUUCACUGGGUGUGUC
rnacentral:rRNA from 1 species